AGUGAACGCUGGCGGCGUGCUUAACACAUGCAAGUCGAACGAGAACGGAAUAUAGCUUGCUAUAUUUGUCAGCUAAGUGGCGCACGGGCGAGUAAUGUAUAGAUAACCUGCCCUUAAGAAAGGAAUUACAGUUGGAAACGACUGCUAAUGCCCUAUAUGCCUUUAAUACAUAAGUAUGCAAGGGAAACGCUUUAGUGCUUAAGGAUGGGUCUGUAUGGUAUCAGCUUGUUGGUGAGGUAAUGGCUCACCAAGGCUAUGACGCCUAACUGGUUUGAGAGGAUGAUCAGUCACACUGGAACUGAGACACGGUCCAGACUCCUACGGGAGGCAGCAGUGGGGAAUAUUGCACAAUGGACGAAAGUCUGAUGCAGCAACGCCGCGUGGAGGAUGACACGUUUCGGUGCGUAAACUCCUUUAAUAUAGGAAGAUAAUGACGGUACUAUAUGAAUAAGCACCGGCUAACUCCGUGCCAGCCGCCGCAGUAA
rnacentral:rRNA from 1 species